UGCAACUUGCAUUGCACUGUGAUGGGAUCCGAAGCCCUCCGAGGGAUAAUACAGGCUCCCCCAUCCAACUCCUAUUCCAACACGUCCUCGUCGUGCAGAGUGGUAACAUGUGCCACCACAUAUCCAAGCUUGGGUACACGAGCUUGACCCAACCCCUUGGGUGGAUGGUGGCAUAUGGUGAGCCAGGAGGGG
rnacentral:ribozyme from 1 species